rnacentral:rRNA from 1 species
UUUGACGUUACCUACAGAAGAAGCACCGGCUAACUCCGUGCCAGCAGCCGCGGUAAUACGGAGGGUGCGAGCGUUAAUCGGAAUUACUGGGCGUAAAGCGCAUGCAGGCGGCCUGUUAAGUCAGAUGUGAAAGACCCGGGGCGUUAACCUCGGAAUUGCAUUUGAAACUAGGCAGGCUAGAGUCUUGUAGAGGGGGGUAGGAAUUUCAGGUGUAGCGGUGAAAUAGCGUAGAGAUCUGAAGGAAUACCAGUGGCGAAGGCGGCCCCCUCGGACAAAGACUGACGCUCAGAUGCGAAAGCGUGGGGAGCAAACAGGAUUAGAUACCCCUGGUAG